AUGGUGGUCGAUCCUCUGGCUGCCAUCCUUGAUAAGGCCAGGGCUGCGGGCCACAUUAAGGGUAUAGUCCCGCAUCUUGUUGGGGGGAACGGGAUCUCCCUUCUCCAAUAUGCGGAUGACACCAUUAUCAUGGAGGAAGGCUCGGCGAGCGAUAUUUCGAACCUCAAGUUCCUUUUGUUGUGCUUCCAGCAAAUGUCGGUCCUCAGGGUCAACUUCGACAAGAGCGAGGUGAUGGUCUUGGGCUACUCCCAAGACGAGCGUCAGAGUAUUGCGGAUCGGCUUAACUGCCAGCUUGGGAGCUUCCCCACGACAUAUCUGGGGAUACCCAUUAGUGACACUAGGCUCACGGUGGCCGACCUGCGCCCCACGGUGGGGAAGCUUCAGCACCGUAUCAAGCCCUGGCAGGGUCGGUGGCUCUCGAAAGCGGCCCGUACGGUGCUCAUUAAGUCGUCCCUCUCUAGCCCGCUCUUGUUCAUCAUGAGCUUCUACAGCCUUCCGGAGACUCUUCAUCACGAGAUUGCCACUGUUCAGGGGCGUUUCUUCUGGGCUGGUGAGGGCGAUAAG
rnacentral:rRNA from 1 species